GCUGGGCACAGUGGCUUGUGCCUGUAAUCCUAGCAUCAGGGAGGCUGAGGCUGGUGGACGGCUUGAGCCCAGGAGUUCUGGGCUGCAGUGAGCUGUGCUGAGCGGGCGUCCGCGCUAAGGCCGGCAUCGAUAUGGUGGUCCUGGGGGAGCCGGGGGCCACCAGGUCGCCUAAGGAGGGGUGAACCGGCCCAGGCCGGAGACGGAGCAGGUCAAAGCUCCCGUGCCGCUCGGUAGCGGGAUGGCGCCUGUGAACAGCCCCUGUAGCACAGCCUGGGCGAGACAGCAGGACACAGCCUCUU
rnacentral:SRP_RNA from 1 species